rnacentral:rRNA from 1 species
UCACUAAAGCAAAGAGAGAAAGGACCCCGAUCUCAUUCGAUCUCGGAAGCUAAGCAUGGUCAGACCUGGUUAGUACGUGGAUGGGAGUCCACCUAGCAAUACCAGGUACUGUAGGCAU